rnacentral:lncRNA from 1 species
CAAAAAUGUAAAAAGCUACUGCCUGUGGGCUAUCAUUUGCUUUGGAACAGGUUUCCCAAAGAAAUACAGCAGGCUCGAGGAAUGGACAAAGCUCUCAGAAACCUGAUCUGAUUUCGUGGUUGACCCUCAUCUCAGUAGAUCAGACUACAGAACUCAUGAGAUUCCAAUCAGACAUUAGGAGCCUGUCUUUCAGCCCACUCUGAUGAUGUUCUUGGCAGACCAUGCUCAGGGCUGGGUGUAUUCCUAACCUGCUUGGGUUCACACAGGCUCAGCCAGGCCUGCCU